rnacentral:tRNA from 1 species
GCCGGUGUGGCGGAAUUGGCAGACGCGCACGACUCAAAAUCGUGUUGGGUAACCAGUGUCGGUUCGACCCCGACCACCGGUA